ACUCUCUUCUCCCCUUUGGAUCCAAUGCCCAAAAGAGUUGGGCAUCCUCUAUCUUCACACCCAAGAGGAGCUUGGGCAUUCCCUCUUUUUUGCCAAUUUUUAGAUGUUGGUUGCUUCAUAAUCAAAGAAAGAAGAACAAGAGAAGAAGAGAAUAAAAAGAUCAAAGAGUUGAUCACGAUUCAGUUUCAUUCAGAUUCGCAGGAUGAUUAUUCUUGAAGAAGAAAAAUCAAUACCAAAGAGGGCUAUUCCAGGCUGAUCCUGAGUGGAUACCUAUAGAGGUUAGAUAUUUGUAUAGCUAAGAAAGAAUCCACUCUCUUCU
rnacentral:lncRNA from 1 species